rnacentral:lncRNA from 1 species
GGAGCAUUUGGAUGCAUCAGACUCAUCUUUCUCAGGAGCAUUGCCCAACUCAAUCGGGAAUCUAGUGUCCUUGGAGUAUUUAAAUCUUCAAUCAUCCAACUUGUCAGGAUCAAUUCCGAUAUCAUUGGGAAACCUCUCACAACUCAAUCAUUUAGAUUUGUCAUGGAACUAUUUUAGUGGACAAAUUCCAUCCUCACUUACAAACCUAAGACAACUCAAUCAUUUAGAUUUGUCAUGGAACUAUUUUAGUGAACAAAUUCCAUCCUCACUUACAAACCUAAGACAACUUGAAUUCUUUUCCCUUUUUUAUAACCAACUAGAGGGUUCCAUUCCUGAUGAGGUGAAUGCCUUUCCUAAUCUAAUCUCUCUAGACUUAUCUUCUAAUUUACUCAAUGGAACACUUCCCUCAUGGUUGUAUACAGUUUCC